rnacentral:lncRNA from 1 species
GAAAAAGCAAGGAAUGAGGAUUUCUUAAAAACACAUGUGAGAUUCAAGAAAUGCCCACGUAGAAAACAAUAAACUAUUAGUGGAAAAGGAAAUUUGCAUAAAUAUCAGUCUUCUAAUAUUCUACGGGUAAUUACCAUCAUAGCUGAAUCAGUAAGGAGGAGAAAAGAAAGAAGGAAAAAUUGGAAAGAUAAAUGGGGUUUUCCAGUGAAGGUAAGACAGCAACGGUUGGAUUAAUUAAUGAUUAAUAACAAGCAAAAAUUAGUGAAAAUGGAGCAGCAUACCUAAUAUUACCUAGAUAUUUGUAUUUAAAUUUUAUUAUGCAUCAUGUUUCCUAUUUGAAAAUAAUGUUUUCAUAAUCAGCAAAACUACAAAACAAUUUAGAUGUAAGCAACAGUCUUCCUUGCCCUAAAAUUUCAUCUGGGAGUAGAUUCUAGAAUGUUUUAGGAAGACUUAAGGAUACAUUCCUAGCCAUUUUAAAAUUAAAAU